rnacentral:pre_miRNA from 1 species
AAACCUACAUACAGCCGCUUACUGUUUAUUCAUAAAAAAAAUUCAGAAAUUGGGAAAGGGAUGAAGAUUUUUGGGAAGCUUUUGGCGUGAGCGGUGGGGAAAGAUAGAUCUAUCAUAUUAGUAUGAUAUGAUAAAUCUUGCCUACACCGCCCAUGCCCAUGGCUUCCAAUGAUUUCUUCCUUUCCAUACAAUUUCUUCAUGUUAUUUUUUUUCUUUUUCAAAAAGAGCUGUGAUGAGAUUUAGAGAUUGUCAUGCACCACUCUUACAAAUUUUAAAUUUGAGUGAUGAUAAAUUUCCCGCAAAAAAAAAAAA